rnacentral:rRNA from 1 species
CCUACGGGGGGCUGCAGUGAGGAAUAUUGGUCAAUGGACGAGAGUCUGAACCAGCCAAGUAGCGUGAAGGAUGACUGCCCUAUGGGUUGUAAACUUCUUUUAUAUGGGAAUAAAAUGUUCCACGUGUGGGAUUUUGUAUGUAACAUAUGAAUAAGGAUCGGCUAACUCCGUGCCAGCAGCCGCGGUAAUACGGAGGAUCCGAGCGUUAUCCGGAUUUAUUGGGUUUAAAGGGAGCGUAGGUGGAUUGUUAAGUCAGUUGUGAAAGUUUGCGGCUCAACCGUAAAAUUGCAGUUGAAACUGGCAGUCGUGAGUACAGUAGAGGUGGGCGGAAUUCGUGGUGUAGCGGUGAAAUGCUUAGAUAUCACGAAGAACUCCGAUUGCGAAGGCAGCUCACUGGACUGCAACUGACACUGAGGCUCGAAAGUGUGGGUAUCAAACAGGAUUAGAUACCCUUGUAGUC